AGUGAACGCUGGCGGUAGGCCUAACACAUGCAAGUCGAACGGCAGCACAGUAAGAGCUUGCUCUUACGGGUGGCGAGUGGCGGACGGGUGAGGAAUACAUCGGAAUCUACUUUUUCGUGGGGGAUAACGUAGGGAAACUUACGCUAAUACCGCAUACGACCUACGGGUGAAAGCAGGAGAUCUUCGGACCUUGCGCGAUUGAAUGAGCCGAUGUCGGAUUAGCUAGUUGGCGGGGUAAAGGCUCACCAAGGCGACGAUCCGUAGCUGGUCUGAGAGGAUGAUCAGCCACACUGGAACUGAGACACGGUCCAGACUCCUACGGGAGGCAGCAGUGGGGAAUAUUGGACAAUGGGCGCAAGCCUGAUCCAGCCAUACCGCGUGGGUGAAGAAGGCCUUCGGGUUGUAAAGCCCUUUUGUUGGGAAAGAAAAGCAGCAGGUUAAUACCCCGCUGUUCUGACGGUACCCAAAGAAUAAGCACCGGCUAACUUCGUG
rnacentral:rRNA from 1 species